rnacentral:tRNA from 1 species
AAUGAAGUGUCUGAUCUAAAAGAAUUAUUUUGAUAGAAUAAAAUAUGUAAUAUUUAUUUACCUUCAUUA